GCAGAGUAGGUCUUCAUGCGUUAAGUGCCCUUCGGACAGAGAGUUGCCGGCGGGACGAAAAGCGCUUCGCGCUUGCGGUAUGGGGACCGCAUCUCGCUGC
rnacentral:ncRNA from 1 species